rnacentral:rRNA from 1 species
GUUGGUGAUUAUAGCAAUAUGAAUAGACCUCUUCCCCAUCCCGAACAGAAAAGUCAAACAUAUUUACGCCGAUGAUACUACAUUCAUGUGGGAAAGUAGGAUGUUGCCAAUG